AACAAGAAACACGGGAGCGGUUCCUCCUCGCACUUUCCACGCAUGUCAUGCAUGCGAGGGGGGCGUCCGUGAAUUUUACUGUGACCAAAAAAGUGCGACCAAAGCAGUCCGCCGACUUGAAUUACAAAGCAUGGGAUAACGAAGCAUCAGCCCUAGGGCCACCGUUUCGGCUUUUGUUGGUUUUAGCAGCCAUUGGGAGAUUAUGGGAGCCCGUGCCCGGGGCUAUGCCCACGCCUCAUGGCGUGCCUGGCAUAUUCGCCCCUUCUCCCCCCUGCGCGCCUCCCCUGGUGGGGAGAGUGUGGUGGGGGGGAGACGCGCGGUUCCCAGGAAUGAAGGAGGGUAGUCGGGGGAGAACGUACUGGUGCGUCAGAGGUGAAAUUCUUAGACCGCACCAAGACGAACUACAGCGAAGGCAUUCUUCAAGGAUACUUUCCUCAAUCAAGAACCAAAGUGUGGGGAUCAAAGAUGAUUAGAGACCAUUGUAGUCCACACUGCAAACCAUGACACCCAUGAAUUGGGGAGCGCUACUGUGGUUCCCCGUGCUUCGGCGUCUUCGUGACGCCGUCUCACGGUCCCAGUACUUAACAAUUUACGUGCCUCUAUUCUUAUAUUCCGCCUGGCGUGCUUCGUUGUACGCCAUGGCGGUUCUUACGGGAAUAUCCUCAGCAC
rnacentral:rRNA from 1 species